rnacentral:rRNA from 1 species
UACGUCCACACCUUUUAGGUGUGGAUCAGUUGACUGUCAUACUUCCAAGAAAAGCUCGAACUACUGUAAAGCAUUACGUACCUGUACCGUAAACCGACGCAGGUGGGUUGGUAGAGUAUACCAAGGGGCGCGAGAUAACUCUCUCUAAGGAACUCGGCAAAAUGACCCCGUAACUUCGGGAGAAGGGGUGCCAAGUAACUCAAAUUGCUUGGUCGCAGUGACCAGGCCCUGGCGACUGUUUAUCAAAAACACAGGUCUCCGCAAAGUCGUAAGACAACAUAUGGGGGCUGACGCCUGCCCAGUGCCGGAAGGUUAAAGAAGUUGGUUAUUCACUCGUGGAGAAGCUGACGACUGAAGCCCCGGUGAACGGCGGCCGUAACGAUAACGGUCCUAAGGUAGCGGAAUUCCUUGUCGGGUAAGUUCCGACCCGCACGAAAGGCGUAACGAUCAGGGCACUGUCUCGGAGAGAGACUCGGUGAAAUAGACAUGUCUGUGAAGAUGCGGACUACCUGCACCUGGACAGAAAGACCCUAUGAAGCUUGACUGUAGCUUGGAAUUGGGUUCGGGCUCUUCUUGCGCAGCCUAGGUGGGAGGCGUUGAAGGCUUUCUUUUGGGGAAGCUGGAGCCAUCAGUGAGAGACCACUCUGGAGGAGCUAGAAUUCUAAUGGCGUUCCUUGAAGCAGGACGCUUGACAGUUUCAGGUGGGCAGUUUGACUGGGGCGGUCACCUCCUAAAAGGUAACGGAGGUGUGCAAAGGUUCCCUCAGGCUGGACGGAAAUCAGCCGUAGAGUGUAAAGGCAGAAGGGAGCUUGACUGCAAGACCUACAAGUCGAGCAGGGGCGAAAGCCGGCCUUAGUGAUCCGACGGUCCCAUGUGGAAGGGCCGUCGCUCAACGGAUAAAAGUUACUCUAAGGAUAACAGGCUGAUCUUCCCCAAGAGUUCACAUCGACGGGAAGGUUUGGCACCUUGAUGUCGGCUCAUCGCAACCUGGGGCGGUAGUACGUCCCAAGGGUUGGGCUGUUCGCCCAUGAAAGCGGUACGUGAGCUGGGUUCAGAACGUCGUGAGACAGUUCGGUCCAUAUCCGGUGUAGGCGUUAGAGCAUUGAGAGGAGUCUUCCAUAGUACGAGAGGACCUGGAAGAACACACCUCUGGUAUACCAGUUAUCAUGCCAAUGGUAGACGCUGGGUAGCCAUGUGUGGAGUGGAUAACCGCUGAAAGCAUCUAAGUGGGAAGCCCACCUCAAGAUGAGUGCUCUCCAUUAGGUCACAGGAAGACAACCUGUUUGAUAGGCAGAAGGUGUAAGGCUAGUAAUAGUUUCAGCUGAUCUGUACUAAUAGACCGAUUGAUUUUGACC